AACAUUCUUAGUCUGUCCACGGAGUCCUCAGUAUGGUCUUCUUUGUUGCACCAGCUGUCCAAGCUGAACUUUGCAACCCUGCACAGUGAGAACUGAUAUCCAAGAUACACAACUGGUUCCAAAUGGACUUGUUUCAAGCACAAAGCAGGAAGCAAGACUUCAGGAUAGAACUCAGAGGCCAAAAAGUAUCUCUAACGUCUAAAGGUUGUAUCCUCAAAACCCUGAAAUCAAACUUUAUAAGCAACUUAAAGGACUUCCAGGGGUGAUUUUGACCCUACUUGUCCUUGACCUUGAGCACAGUCUUAGAAGCCCAAGCAGCCUGUGACUCCUCUGUGAAUUAAAUGGCCCUUCAGAGAGAAAGAAGGCCCACGGGAUGGAUGUCCCAAGAACUGAUCCAAGUCUGAUUGCUGCUAAG